CCUACGGGAGGCAGCAGUGAGGAAUAUUGGUCAAUGGGCGUAAGCCUGAACCAGCCAAGUCGCGUGAGGGAUGAAGGUUCUAUGGAUCGUAAACCUCUUUUAUAAGGGAAUAAAGUGUGGGACGUGUCCUGUUUUGUAUGUACCUUAUGAAUAAGGAUCGGCUAACUCCGUGCCAGCAGCCGCGGUAAUACGGAGGAUCCGAGCGUUAUCAGGAUUUAUUGGGUUUAAAGGGUGCGUAGGCGGCCUGUUAAGUCAGCGGUGAAAGUCUGUGGCUCAACCAUAGAAUUGCCGUUGAAACUGGGAGGCUUGAGUAUGUUUGAGGCAGGCGGAAUGCGUGGUGUAGCGGUGAAAUGCUUAGAUAUCACGCAGAACCCGGAUUGCGAAGGCAGCCUGCCAAGCCAUGACUGACGCUGAUGCACGAAAGCGUGGGGAUCAAACAGGAUUAGAUACCCCAGUAGUC
rnacentral:rRNA from 1 species